UUGAAUUGAAGAGUUUGAUCAUGGCUCAGAUUGAACGCUGGCGGCAGGCUUAACACAUGCAAGUCGAACGGUAGCAGGAGGAAGCUUGCUUUCUUGCUGACGAGUGGCGGACGGGUGAGUAAUGCUUGGGAAUCUGGCUUAUGGAGGGGGGAUAACGACGGGAAACUGUCGCUAAUACCGCGUAUUAUCGGAAGAUGAAAGUGCGGGACUGAGAGGCCGCAUGCCAUAGGAUGAGCCCAAGUGGGAUUAGGUAGUUGGUGGGGUAAAUGCCUA
rnacentral:rRNA from 1 species